AGAGUUUGAUCCUGGCUCAGGAUGAACGCUAGCGGCAGGCCUAACACAUGCAAGUCGAGGGGCAGCGGGGUAGCAAUACCGCCGGCGACCGGCGUACGGGUGCGUAACGCGUAUGUAACCUGGCUCCGAUUGGGGGAUAGCCUUCCGAAAGGAAGAUUAAUACCGCAUAACAUCGCUUUCCCGCAUGAGAGAGCGAUUAAAUAUUUAUAGAUCGGAGAUGGACAUGCGUGACAUUAGCUAGUUGGCGAGGUAACGGCUCACCAAGGCGACGAUGUCUAGGGGUCCUGAGAGGGAGAACCCCCACAUUGGUACUGAGACAGGGACCAAACUCCUACGGGAGGCAGCAGUGAGGAAUAUUGGUCAAUGGUCGGAAGACUGAACCAGCCAAGUCGCGUGCAGGAAGACGGUCCUAUGGAUUGUAAACUGCUUUUGUACGGGAAUAAAGUUCAGGACGUGUCCUGUUUGGAAUGUACCGUAAGAAUAAGGGUCGACUAACUCCGUGCCAGCAGCCGCGGUAAUACGGAGGACCCGAGCGUUAUCCGGAUUUAUUGGGUUUAAAGGGUGCGCAGGCGGAGGAUUAAGUCAGCGGUGAAAUUCUCAUGCUCAACAUGAGAACUGCCAUUGAUACUGGUCCCCUUGAGAGAUGUCGAGGAUGGCGGAAUGUGAUGUGUAGCGGUGAAAUGCUUAGAUAUGUCACAGAACACCGAUUGCGAAGGCAGCUGUCCAGAGAUCAUCUGACGCUCAGGCACGAAAGCAUGGGUAUCAAACAGGAUUAGAUACCCUGGUGGUCCAUGCAGUAAACGAUGAGUGCUCGCCAUUUGCCCUUAGGGGUGAGUGGCUUAGGGAAACCGUUAAGCACUCCACCUGGGGAGUACGCCGGCAACGGUGAAACUCAAAGGAAUUGACGGGGGCCCGCACAAGCGGAGGAACAUGUGGUUUAAUUCGAUGAUACGCGAGGAACCUUACCCGGGCUUGAAAUCAGGAUGAACGAUCUGGAGACAGAGAGGUCUGGCAACAGCAUCCUGGUAGGUGCUGCAUGGUUGUCGUCAGCUCGUGCCGUGAGGUGUCGGCUUAAGUGCCAUAACGAGCGCAACCCUCGCUGACAGUUACUAACAGGUUAAGCUGAGGACUCUGUCGGGACUGCCACCGCAAGGUGUGAGGAAGGUGGGGAUGACGUCAAAUCAGCACGGCCCUUACGUCCGGGGCUACACACGUGUUACAAUGGGUGGGACAGAAAGAAGCCAGGCGGCGACGCCGAGCGGAUCUCCAAACCCAUCCCUAGUUCGGACUGGAGUCUGCAACCCGACUCCACGAAGCUGGAUUCGCUAGUAAUCGCGCAUCAGCCAUGGCGCGGUGAAUACGUUCCCGGGCCUUGCACUAACCGCCCGUCAAG
rnacentral:rRNA from 1 species